AUACUCAGUGGUAGAGCAUCUGCCUGGCAUGCAGAAGAUCCCAGGUUCAAUCCCUGACAUCUACA
rnacentral:tRNA from 1 species